rnacentral:rRNA from 1 species
UGGCGAGGUCAAGGGAAAGCGGCUUCGGCCGGGAGUACUUGGCGCAAGGGUGAGUAAUGUAUAGGUAAUCUGCCCUUUGGACUGGGAUAACCCCGAGAAAUCGGGGACAAUACCAGAUGAUGCAGCGGAACCGCAUGGUUAUGUUGUUAAAGAUUUAUCGCCAAAGGAUGAACCUAUAUCCCAUCAGGUAGUUGGUAAGGUAACGGCUUACCAAGCCUACGACGGGUAGCUGGUCUGGGGGAUGAUCAGCCACAUUGGAACUGAGACACGGUCCAGACUCCUACGGGGAGGCAGCAGUGAGGAAUAUUGGGCAAUGGGGCGAAAGCCUGACGCACAACGCCGCGUGGAUGAUGAAUUCUUCGGGAUGUAAAGUCCUUUUUGGAGAGGAAGAUAUCUUGGGUUACCAGGACUGACGGUACUCUACAAAUAAGCACGGGCUAACUACGUG